CAUGGGGAACGUGAUGUCACUGGACACGGCCGAGACCGGUUCGCGCUGAAUGCUGAUCACUGCGACCCGCACCAGAGACAGAGGGACAGAGGCGGCCGGGAGAGUCACAGGGGAAGAAACAGAAAUGGGAGAGACAGACACCAGGAAGGCAGACGCAGACACCGAGGAGCUCCCAGUCUAACAGGACACAGACAUUUCGAUGAGCAUUCAUGACACCUCAUGACUGGGAGGCUCGGGGGACCAGAGGAGCGACAGAAGGAGGCGCCAGGAACAAGGGAGGACACCUGGGAGUCAGGCCCUGAGAUGAUCUCGCCAGCAGCCGCCUUCUUCCACGUCAUCAGCAUCACAUACUCGUCCCUGCACAUCUCGUGGAAGGCUGUGGGGACAGUGGAGGGGCUCAGCUAGGCCCACAGGCUUGUCCCUCCACCCCCUAGCGUCCUGUGGCCGAUACCUGGACACCUCUUCUCGCUGCAAGGCUUCACCUCCUCUCCGGUGCC